rfam:Lyngbya majuscula 3L genomic scaffold scf52018, whole genome shotgun sequence.
AUCCUCCUAGCCAAAGCCUAGGGAAUUCCCGGUAAUCUCCGGGAUUGCCAACUAGGAUGCAGACUCAGGUGCGAUUCCUAGGUUGGUUUGGUUAUGACACCCAGAGGUGAACUCCAGCUUCUGGCUCUGUCGCUAAUCAUUAAGACAAAGGCAAAUGUGUGGUUAGCCCAACAAGCCAUCCCAACAUUGUCAAGGAACACAUUAC